rnacentral:rRNA from 1 species
AACGGCCCACCAAAGCGACGAUCAGUAGCCGGCCUGAGAGGGUGGACGGCCACAUUGGGACUGAGACACGGCCCAGACUCCUACGGGAGGCAGCAGUGGGGAAUAUUGCACAAUGGGGAAACCCUGGUGCAGCGACGCCGCGUGAAGGAAGAAGUAUCUCGGUAUGUAAAGCUCUAUCAGCAGGGAAGAAGAAUGACGGUACCUGACUAAGAAGCUCCGGCUAAAUAC